AACGUAGGUCGCAAGCGUUGUCCGGAAUUACUGGGUGUAAAGGGAGCGCAGGCGGGAGAACAAGUUGGAAGUGAAAUCCAUGGGCUCAACCCAUGAACUGCUUUCAAAACUGUUUUUCUUGAGUAGUGCAGAGGUAGGCGGAAUUCCCGGUGUAGCGGUGGAAUGCGUAGAUAUCGGGAGGAACACCAGUGGCGAAGGCGGCCUACUGGGCACCAACUGACGCUGAGGCUCGAAAGUGUGGGUAGCAAACAGG
rnacentral:rRNA from 1 species